rnacentral:rRNA from 1 species
UGAGGAAUAUUGGUCAAUGGACGGAAGUCUGAACCAGCCAUGCCGCGUGCAGGAAGAAUGUCCUAUGGAUUGUAAACUGCUUUUUUACGGGAAUAAAUGUACAUUUGCGAAUGUAUUUGAAGGUACUGUAAGAAUAAGGAUCGGCUAACUCCGUGCCAGCAGCCGCGGUAAUACGGAGGAUCCGAGCGUUAUCCGGAUUUAUUGGGUUUAAAGGGUGCGUAGGCGGCACAUUAAGUCAGUGGUGAAAUCUUCAUGCUUAACAUGGAAACUGCCAUUGAUACUGAUGAGCUUGAGUACAGAUGGAGUGGGCGGAAUAUGACAUGUAGCGGUGAAAUGCGUAGAUAUGUCAUAGAACUCCAAUCGCGAAGGCAGCUCACUAAGCUGUAACUGACGCUAAAGCACGAAAGCGUGGGGAUCAAACA